rnacentral:rRNA from 1 species
GAGUUUGAUCAUGGCUCAGGACGAACGCUGGCGGUGCGCCUUAUGCAUGCAAGUUGAGCGAAGCUUUUCAGUAGUUUACUACAGAAAAUGACUGAGCGGCGAACGGGUGAGUAACGCGUGAGCAAUCUACCUUAGUUACUGGGAUAGCCCGAGGAAACUCGGAUUAAUACCGGAUAUUCUUAUUUUUUCACAUGAAGUUUUAAGGAAAGGUCAGCCGAACUAAGAUGAGCUCGCGUUCUAUCAGCUAGUUGGUGGGGUAAAAGCCUACCAAGGCUACGACGGAUAGCUGGUCUGAGAGGACGAUCAGCCACACUGGGACUGAGACACGGCCCAGACUCCUACGGGAGGCUGCAGCAGGGAAUAUUGCGCAAUGAGCGAAAGCUUGACGCAGCGACACCGCGUGUGGGAUGACGGUUCUAGGAUUGUAAACCACUUUCAGGAGGGAAGAAAAUGACGGUACCUCCACAAGAAGACCCGGCCAACUACGUGCCAGCAGCCGCGGUAAUACGUAGGGGUCAAGCGUUGUCCGGAUUUAUUGGGCGUAAAGAGCUCGUAGGCGGUUCAACAAGUCGGUCGUAAAAGUUUAGGGCUCAACCCUAAAAUGUCGAUCGAUACUGUUGUGACUAGGAUACGGUAGAGGUGAAUGGAAUUCCGAGUGUAGCGGUGAAAUGCGUAGAUAUUCGGAGGAACACCAAUUGCGAAGGCAGUUCACUGGACCGUGAUCGACGCUGAGGAGCGAAAGCUAGGGGAGCAAACAGGAUUAGAUACCCUGGUAGUCCUAGCUGUAAACGAUGGAUACUAGAUGUAGGAACUGGAUUGACGGUUUCUGUAUC